rnacentral:ncRNA from 2 species
CCGUAAUUUUGACCCCGAGCCUGUUUGCCUAAGUCAUUGAUAUGGCGGCAGUGCCUGCGAAAUUCGCACAAGGUAUCGCUGGAAACGGCUAUGCCUCUCGUAUUUAGAAAGGUGUUCAAUGCAAACUAUU